AGCAGCCGCGGUAAUUCCAGCUCCAAUAGCGUAUAUUAAAGUUGUUGCAGUUAAAAAGCUCGUAGUUGAACUUUGGGAUUUGCCCAUUGGUCAGGCUUAGCUGUCUGCACUGGUGUGACGAGUUCCUACCUUCUGAGGAAUCUCCAUGUCAUUCAGUUGGUGUGGGGGGAAAUCAGGACUGUUACUUUGAAAAAAUUAGAGUGUUUAAAGCAGGCAUCCGUCUGAAUACAUUAGCAUGGAAUAAUAAAAUAGGACGGUUUGGUUCUAUUUUGUUGGUUUCUAGGAUCACCGUAAUGAUUAAUAGGGAUAGUUGGGGGCAUUAGUAUUCAAUUGUCAGAGGUGAAAUUCUUGGAUUUAUUGAAGACUAACUACUGCGAAAGCAUUUGCCAAGGAUGUUUUUCAUUAAAUCAAGAACGAAAGUUAGGGGAUCGAAGACGAUCAGAUACCGUCGUAGUCUUAAACCA
rnacentral:rRNA from 1 species